GUGCUUGCUUUGGUAGCACCUAUACUAAAAUUGGAACAAUACAGAGAAGGUUAGCAUGGCCCUUACACAAGGAUGACAUGCAGAUUUGUGAAGCGUUCCGUAUUUUU